rnacentral:rRNA from 1 species
UACGUAGGGGGCAAGCGUUGUCCGGAAUUAUUGGGCGUAAAGGGCGCGUAGGCGGGUAUUUAAGUCCGGUGUGAAAGAUCAGGGCUCAACCCUGAGAGUGCAUCGGAAACUGGGUAUCUUGAGGACAGGAGAGGAAAGUGGAAUUCCACGUGUAGCGGUGAAAUGCGUAGAUAUGUGGAGGAACACCAGUGGCGAAGGCGACUUUCUGGACUGUAACUGACGCUGAGGCGCGAAAGCGUGGGGAGCAAACAGG